rnacentral:rRNA from 1 species
UACGUAGGUGGCAAGCGUUGUCCGGAUUUACUGGGCGUAAAGAGCGCGCAGGCGGUCGUCCAAGUCGCGUGUGAAAGCCCCCGGCUCAACUGGGGAGGGUCACGCGAUACUGGUCGACUCGAAGGCAGGAGAGGGUAGUGGAAUUCCCGGUGUAGUGGUGAAAUGCGUAGAUAUCGGGAAGAACACCUGUGGCGAAGGCGACUCCCUGGCCUGUUAUUGACGCUGAGGCGCGAAAGCUAGGGGAGCAAACAGG